UACGAAGGGGGCUAGCGUUGUUCGGAAUUACUGGGCGUAAAGCGCACGUAGGCGGAAUGUUAAGUCAGGGGUGAAAUCCCGGGGCUCAACCCCGGAACUGCCUUUGAUACCGGCAUUCUCGAGUCCGGAAGAGGUGAGUGGAAUUCCGAGUGUAGAGGUGAAAUUCGUAGAUAUUCGGAGGAACACCAGUGGCGAAGGCGGCUCACUGGUCCGGUACUGACGCUGAGGUGCGAAAGCGUGGGGAGCAAACAGGG
rnacentral:rRNA from 1 species